rnacentral:misc_RNA from 1 species
UCGACCAAGAAAUGGUCUUCCUGAUUCAGCUAUUGGCAAGCAGAAUUCAUAUCCCAGUAUUCUUUCUCUAGUGGCUAAUGCAAUAUCCACCAACAAGAUGUUUAACGUUUUGUACAGUCCAAGGGCCAGUAAUGCAGAGUUUGUUGUACCCUAUAAAAAGUAUAUGAAAAGCAUCAUGAAUCCAGUGUGCAUUGGGACACGAUUCAAGAUGAGAUUUGAAAUGGAUGAUUCUCCAGAAAGAAGGUGCAGUGGUGUAAUUACUGAAAUAAGUGACUUGGAUCCUUAUAGAUGGCCUAACUCAAAAUGGAGGUGCUUAAUGGUGAGGUGGGAUGAAGAUAUUGGUGGUGAUCAUCAAGAACGAGUUUCUCCGUGGGAGAUUGAUCCUUCUGUUUCGCUCCCCCCCUUGAGCGUUCAGUCUUCCCCAAGACUGAAGAAACUGCGGACUGGUCUGUCAGCAACCCCACCUGAUAACCCCAUAACUGGAGGGGGUGGGUUUUUAGACUUUGAGGAGUCUGGAAGAUCCUCUAAGGUCUUGCAAGGUCAAGAAAAUGUAGGUUUCAUGUCACCCUUGUAUGGAUGUGACACUUUAAACCGCCCACCAGAUUUUGAGAUGCAAAAUUCAGCUCAUCAAAAUCUUGUGUCAACUGGAAGAGAAAAAGCUAAUAAUGGCGAGAUAACAAGGGCUCGCUCAACCACUUACACAGG